AGCACAAGUAGAAAUAAAGAAAGAAUUGACAGUAAGAAAUUAAAAGAUAAGUCCUAAGAAGCCUUGAAAUCUCGAAAGAUCUCACAACUCCCUUCAAACGGCUCUAAUCUCCCCUCCAAAGAAUAUCAAUGGCAAGAAGAAGGUUGAAGAUGGCUCCCACAAUCACAAGAUUGUUAAAACAACUUCUAAAGAAAACUCAAGAGAGAAAUCUUGGAGAAAACUCAAAGAAAAUUCUGCUCUCAACAAAUCUGAAAUUUUAAUAAUAAUGAUAAGUGUUUAACAAGGUGGACGGCCAUGCCUUUAAAUAGGCCUUAUAACUAGUCCUAAUCUAAUUAGAAAACUAAAAUAAAAAAAAACUCCUAAUUAUUUUAAUAUGGAAAUUUAGUCAAAGGUCAUUUUAUCUGGGACUCUUGGACUGAAUAUUGACAUAAAAAUUUAAACUAAGUAAAUAAAUAAAUAAAAAAAUAAAAAUAAAAAUAAAACUUUACAACUUGGGCCACUUUGACAAUUUGGCCUGAUUUUCAACUAAGUAUGGAUGGAUUUCUUGAUUGGGCUGGGAAUUUGCUUAUUGGGCCUCACCUUCAAGAAUUUGGGCUUUUGUGACUCGUAUCAUUCCCCCCUUCCUCAAAAAGAUUCGUCCUCGAAUCUGAAAAAUCAAAUGAACUCGACUUUCCUCUAUCGAACGGGACUAAUGGCAAUUGAGUCCACUGAAAAGAAUAGCCAUGAGAUAGUAAAUAGCAACGGAAACAAGCUUGUAGUCCAAUCAUAAGCAUAACAGAACAGGUAUAACGCAUGUGAAUGGACAGAUUCAGAUUACCAUGCAAACAAUCUAAUUUACUCACCACUGCCUCGUCAAAUAUUUGAAACAAAGAUGGACAUGUUUUAAGGCAUUCAGUCGUCUCACAUUGUUCCCACAAACCAUGAAUAAAUUGUGAGUAAUAAAUCAAAUGGUAAACAUAAUCGUCACAAGUAGGUAUUUGAAAAGAUUCACAUGGUUCACAGAGUUGCAUAAUCAUACCAUGCAUUAAUCGACGGUCUAUAGAUUCACUCACACAUGCAUUAUCAAAAACAAGAAUCUUUUUAUCAACCAUCAAAACAGAUAGAUCAUCAAUAAAUAAAAUAGGACAGUCAAGCACAUUUCGAUCUAAGUGUUCAUCAACACGAUCUUUAUCACUAUCCGAGGAGUACAAAAGUGUUUCAAAGGUUUCAAGCAUCUUACCUCAAUAAGCAGAAGAAUAAGGGUCGAUUUUACCUUUUUCAUUUAAAACAAACCUUCGCUCAUCGGGGGCAUAGUGUAGUCGAAUCUCCGUUGUUGAGUUAACCUUUGUCAAAUGGAACUCAAACUUCAUGUACAACCACAUAAACUGUUUAAGGCACGAAUAUAAAUUGCAAACAAAUUUGGAAAAUUUCGUUACCUUAUUCUCCAAAACAGAUUUGGACAAAUUCGAGGAUUUUACACAAGGUAAAUAAAGAGAAUAACAAAUCACGCUUCUUUUCGUAAUGACUUUAUCAACCACAAUCGAAGAGUAACAAUUAAUCGGAUCAAAAUGAGGGGAUCUUUUAAGAACUAAGUCACCAAAAGUUUUAUCAAUAAUUUUCAAAUCUGCACUGGACUCGGUUUCUAAAAUUUCCUUACCUCGCUUACCUUCGGGAUCAUGUAGUGUGAUUUCAUCUUUGCCUAAGUUGAUCGUAUGAAAGCGUCUUUCAUUUGAGAGGUAUUGAAGUUGAAAGUUAUCUUUCGAUCUUUCGGGAACCUGAAAAGUAGCAACACAAGAAAAAAUCAUAUCUUGGUUAGUGGAAACAUUCCUCACUACCCUUUCCACGUCUUUUUUUUUGUUUCUUUUUCUAAUUCAUUUUCUCUUCUUUCUUCAAUUUCUUUUUCACUCUCAAUCUCUUUUUGCUCUUUUUCAUUCUCUCUUCUCUUUUUCCUCACUUGUUUUAACAGAAUUUUUCAGUUUGAUUUGGUCCUCAUGGACUUGUUCCAGAGUGAGCGGCACUAAGGUGAGUUUCUUUCCUUGAUGCUUGAAAGAAUACCUAUUGGUACGACCAUCGUGAGUGACUUUUCGAUCCAGUUGCCACGGUUCUCCUAGCAACAAAUGGCAGGCUUGAAUAGGCAUUACGUCGCACACAACUUCGUCUUGAUACUUACCGAUAGAAAAGGCGAUGCGCACUUGUUGAGUGACCCUAAAUUGGCCUUCGUUGCUAAGCCCUUGUAGUUGAUAAGGUUGUGGAUGCUUGGUAGUGGUUAAGCAAAGCUUUUCCACCAUCGUCGUGCUGGCUAUGUUCGAGCAACUUUCACCAUCAAUAAUAACUCUACAAAGCUUACCUUGUACGUGGCAGCGAGUAUGAAAGAGAUGUUCUCGUUGCUGCUCGCUCUUUGGUUUUGCCAAAGAUGAUUGUCCAUGAUCAUGACAAUCAUCAUCCAUUCUAGGGACACGUUGAGGGUUGCGCCUAUGGGGCUGGUUAUUCCUAUCUUCUUUGAUUGGAUUUCGAUAUUGAGGUUCUUGAUUCAAUUACACCUCAUUGAUGGUAGCAGUCAAAGCUCGAAGGGUAGCAUUUAUUUGUGUGAUUGCAGCAGCGUGUCCUUCUAACUGUUGUUGGACUUCCAUAAGUGUAUCAUUAUGGUCAUCUUUAGACAUCUUCCAAAAAAGCUGCAAAAAUAAACACUCAACACUCAAAAAUAAAAAUUAGCAAACCUCACCGUUAAUCACUCAAAAAGAAAAUUCAAAUUCUCAAUGAGGUAGAAUUCAAUCUUGUGAGUUCUUUAUCAAAGUUUAUAUCAACCAAUUAGAGAGUGGAUGAACCGAUCUACCAAAGAAUCCUAAUGUGCACUAGGAUGCCAAAAACUGACGAGACACUAAUUGAUUCGUGUUGCACCGAGGAAGAAUUGGGCACACGUUUAAAUCCUACUAACACAAAAAACAAGAAGGUGUUAGAUAUUGUAAAGGGAGAAUAAAAAGCAAACAAAUGAAAACCUACAGCUAAGAAUCAAUAAAAAUUGUUGAAAACAGAAAACCCGAAAAACUGCGGAGUAACUUGACAACUUCGUUCGAGGUGUUCCCGAUCUCAAAAAAUCACAAAAUUAAAUCUGGAAUGUCUUCAAAUAUUGAAUUUUUGAUCUGAAAAAUUUGGGCACCAAAUUCAACCCGCUGAAUAUUUUUUUAAUUUUUUAUUGGAUUUCGUCUUUUUUCAAUUUUUUGACUUUUUCGACUUAUUUUUUUGCGGGAAAUAUUUUUGUAUAUUCAAUAACAGUGCCAAAAAUAUAUAUGUAAAAUUUUAGAUCAAUCAGAAAACGUUUACCCACUCAAAUGAAUUUUUUUCGAAAAUUUUUCUGGGUAAAACUGCUGUUUGUAAUUUAAAAAAUAGAGAUCAGUUUAGAAAUCAACCAAGAACACCCAAAACGCCCAAAAUCUGAUACCAAAUGAUACGGGGUUGCGCGCGGACCAAGAUCGAGUUGCCAAGUCACGAGAAACUCCUACGAAAACCCUAAACAAUUAGAUCUGAAACGAAACAGAAAAUUAAAAGAUUAGAUUUUUGAAUUUUCAGAUCUGAAAUAAAAUCCCCAAAUCAGCAAAGAAUCAAAUUGAGAAUAGAAAUAAGUGUUAGGGUUCUUGAAACCCUCAAGGAGAUUGUGAUUCUGCCCAAUUGAACACCAAGAUAGUUUUCCCCAAAUUUCGACAAUCUAAUUUCACCCAAAAAGAGUAUGAAAAAACCCUAGAAAUUGGGGAUUUUUGGGCUGAUUCCUUAAGAUAGAAAAAGGCUGAAAACACAAUAAGAACAGAAAAUAGAUUAGAUAAUGAUUCAGCACAAGUAGAAAUAAAGAAAGAAUUGACAGUAAGAAAUUAAAAGAUAAGUCCUAAGAAGCCUUGAAAUCUCGAAAGAUCUCACAACUCCCUUCAAACGGCUCUAAUCUCCCCUCCAAAGAAUAUCAAUGGCAAGAAGAAGGUUGAAGAUGGCUCCCACAAUCACAAGAUUGUUAAAACAACUUCUAAAGAAAACUCAAGAGAGAAAUCUUGGAGAAAACUCAAAGAAAAUUCUGCUCUCAACAAAUCUGAAAUUUUAAUAAUAAUGAUAAGUGUUUAACAAGGUGGACAGCCAUGCCUUUAAAUAGGCCUUAUAACUAGUCCUAAUCUAAUUAGAAAACUAAAAUAAAAAAAAAACUCCUAAUUAUUUUAAUAUGAAAAUUUGGUCAAAGGUCAUUUUAUCUGGGACUCUUGGACUGAAUAUUGACAUAAAAAUUUAAACUAAGUAAAUAAAUAAAUAAAUAAAUAAAAAUAAAAAUAAAACUUUACAACUUGGGCCACUUUGACAAUUUGGCCUGAUU
rnacentral:lncRNA from 1 species